CAGGAGGGGCUCGCCGCCGCGGGCGGAACCUGGGGGCCGCGGGUUCCCGGCGGUUUCCAGACCCGCUCCGCGGAGGCAGAGCAGCCGGGAGACCGGAACGAGCUGGGGGAAGCGUGAAGGCUGCAGUCGCGGUGGCGAGUUAGUUAGUGUUCGGCCUUCGCCUGCACGACCCUCCCUCCCUCACACCCAGGCAUUCGGCCUAGGCCUCUCAGCCCCGCGGACCGUCCGGGUCACCCGGGGGGCGGGGCGGGCGCUUCGUAGACACGGAUUACCACCACUCAGAGGCGCGGGCCCAGGCAAUGUCUGUCCAGGUCCCCGCCAGGCCACCUCUGAACGUGUCGCCGACGGCCCUGCCGGCAGUUCACGCAGGAGGCUCCCGGGGCGUGUGCUAGUUCAGCAAAGCGCUCAGCCAGGCUCCAAGCCCCGCCCACCGCCUCUCCGACCACCGGCAGGUCCCGAGAGAGGCCAAGUGGAGGGACUCCCACUUUUCCCGAGAAUUGGCCAGAACUUCGACGGCCCGAGAGGGCAAGCACGAGGUUUUUGAUCAGGAUUUCUUGAACCAUGCACGGAAUAGAGGCUCAAUAAAUGUUGAUUGAACGAA